rnacentral:tRNA from 1 species
AAAUCUAUAGCUUAAUUAGAUUAAAGUAUAUAAUUACGAAUUAUAAGAUAAAGGUUUAAAUCCUUUUAGAUUUU